UACGGAGGGGGCUAGCGUUGCUCGGAAUCACUGGGCGUAAAGCGCACGUAGGCGGAUCUUUAAGUCAGAGGUGAAAUCCCAAGGCUCAACCUUGGAACUGCCUUUGAUACUGGGGAUCUUGAGUCCGGGAGAGGUGAGUGGAACUGCGAGUGUAGAGGUGAAAUUCGUAGAUAUUCGCAAGAACACCAGUGGCGAAGGCGGCUCACUGGCCCGGGUACUGACGCUGAGGUGCGAAAGCGUGGGGAGCAAACAGG
rnacentral:rRNA from 1 species